GACGAACGCUGGCGGCGUGCCUAAUACAUGCAAGUCGAACGAACCGCGACUAAGUGCUUGCACUAAGUCAAGGUGAGUGGCGAACGGGUGAGUAACACGUGGGUAACCUACCUCAUAGUGGGGGAUAACAGUCGGAAACGACUGCUAAUACCGCAUAGGACAUAGGAUCACAUGAUCCAGUGAGGAAAGGUGGCGCAAGCUAUCGCUACGAGAUGGACCCGCGGUGCAUUAGCUAGUUGGUAGGGUAAAGGCCUACCAAGGCGAUGAUGCAUAGCCGACCUGAGAGGGUGAUCGGCCACAUUGGGACUGAGACACGGCCCAAACUCCUGCGGGAGGCAGCAGUAGGGAAUCUUCCGCAAUGGACGCAAGUCUGACGGAGCAACGCCGCGUGAGUGAAGAAGGUCUUCGGAUCGUAAAGCUCUGUUGUUAGAGAAGAACAGCGCAUAGAGUAACUGCUAUGCGUGUGACGGUAUCUAACCAGAAAGCCACGGCUAACUACGUG
rnacentral:rRNA from 1 species